ensembl:lncRNA
AACUUAGUAAAAGAAAACUCUAAGAAUGACUACAAAUACUACUGCUACUAACAAUGAUACUAAUUAAUCAUAAGGAGAAGAAGAAAAGACAUUUAACUGUUUCCUAACUCGCUGGUGAAGCCCUGUAGACAAAAGGUUUGAGGAAAGCUGACAAUUACAUGAAUAAUAUCUAUUCUCUUGAUUAAAUUAGUAAGCCCAAACAAACUUAUAUCAACCAUGUUUACCAAGGCUUUUGCAAGACUGUUGAUUAAUGUAGCAAAUAAUCAGUGUUUGAAAAAGCAUCCAAAAGUCUCUCUUGAGAAAAAGUAAAUAUAUCAGGUUAAAAUAUUACCUUGGUAAAAGUGAAAGUCAUCCAUACGAACAGUAUUUGAGUAAAAGUCUUAAAAACAGUAUCACAAAUACAAACAAAAGUAAAUUAUACAUAUUUGCAUGUAUGUAUUGUACAUUCUGGGUCGACUGAUGAUUGGCAGUAUAACGUAGCUAAAAAUAACAAUACUCAAGUAAAAUACAAGUACUUACGUAACAAAUUGCUUUCAGUACACUGCUUACGUUACUCACUAAAUUACUACUUUAAUCAUUCCCUUAAGAAUCUUAUGAGUAUUUCAGCUGUUGUUCUAAAUAUAGAAAUAUAUAUCAAAAAAAUCUGUAUCUCUGAAGAUCUCUAUUAUUGUUUUGCAUGCACUUUGACAGGCUGGUUGUGAGAGAAGCAACAGCUCCUUCUGAGUGAAAUAUCUUUGAACAGUCGUAGAAAAAACCUGAAAAACUGGACACCUGUCAUUUGUGGAAUGGCGGUGAUGUGUUCCCAUUGUCCUUGGGAUCACAUGACCACGUGAAAGGGAAGAUGAUUUCGCUUGAGAGCAGUAGACUGCCGUCCCGUUUUCAUUCCUCGUUUAUAGAGAGCUGUCGACGCAUGUUUGGUCUACAGUCAGUGACUAUGAAAAUACUAAUCUUUGUAGCGUGUAUGUACCUACUUCUUCCUGUUCAGGCUGAUGACAUGGAACACUACACCUAUUGCGAGAGUUGUCUAACAGCAGCACGAGAGAUUGAGAAAGCCAUGAAGGAAGCCCCAGCUGACAGCAGACAGACAGUAGUCAAGAGCCUCCUCAGUGGUGGUGUGUGUGAGAAAAUGCUGUCCUACAAACAUGACCAUGUCUCAAAGGACAAAAUGACAUCUUCUUGCAUGCACUUGUUUGAAUCUAAUCAUGACCAGUUCAAUCUCGCUUUGGUAAAUAAAGAACCAAAGCAUCUGGAUAUAGUCCUGUGCUACGAGCAAUCCACAGCAUGUGUGGGGGUGAAGCGCCAGUCUUUUGAGGAUUCCAAGAAAAGCACCUUUACAGAAAGUGACAUUGAAGCUCUCCUUCGGGACAACAAGGAAAAUGUGCGCAUUGCUCGACCUACACACUCAGGCUCACCUGUGCACUCAGGAGGGGAGUUGUGAAAACAGCAGCGUCAUUUUGUUUGCUACUGAUUGUAUGGUGGCUUGUUGUCAUGAUACAGUGUGUUUGAUUGUCCGUAUAAUAAAGACAUCAUUGAAAGAUUUUUUUCUGGG